rnacentral:rRNA from 1 species
GACGAACGCUGGCGGCGUGCCUAAUACAUGCAAGUAGAACGCUGAAGAGAGGAGCUUGCUCUUCUUGGAUGAGUUGCGAACGGGUGAGUAACGCGUAGGUAACCUGCCUGGUAGCGGGGGAUAACUAUUGGAAACGAUAGCUAAUACCGCAUAACAACAGUUGUUGCAUGACAGCUGUUUAAAAGAUGCAAUUGCAUCACUACCAGAUGGACCUGCGUUGUAUUAGCUAGUUGGUGAGGUAACGGCUCACCAAGGCGACGAUACAUAGCCGACCUGAGAGGGUGAUCGGCCACACUGGGACUGAGACACGGCCCAGACUCCUACGGGAGGCAGCAGUAGGGAAUCUUCGGCAAUGGGGGGAACCCUGACCGAGCAACGCCGCGUGAGUGAAGAAGGUUUUCGGAUCGUAAAGCUCUGUUGUAAGAGAAGAACGGGUGUGAGAGUGGAAAGUUCACACUGUGACGUAUCUACCAGAAAGGACGCA